rnacentral:rRNA from 1 species
AUUGAACGCUGGCGGCAGGCCUAACACAUGCAAGUCGAGCGGAUGAAGGGAGCUUGCUCCUGGAUUCAGCGGCGGACGGGUGAGUAAUGCCUAGGAAUCUGCCUGGUAGUGGGGGAUAACGUCCGGAAACGGGCGCUAAUACCGCAUACGUCCUGAGGGAGAAAGUGGGGGAUCUUCGGACCUCACGCUAUUAGAUGAGCCUAGGUCGGAUUAGCUAGUUGGUGGGGUAAAGGCCUACCAAGGCGACGAUCCGUAACUGGUCUGAGAGGAUGAUCAGUCACACUGGAACUGAGACACGGUCCAGACUCCUACGGGAGGCAGCAGUGGGGAAUAUUGGACAAUGGGCGAAAGCCUGAUCCAGCCAUGCCGCGUGUGUGAAGAAGGUCUUCGGAUUGUAAAGCACUUUAAGUGGGGAGGAAGGGCAGUAAGUUAAUACCUUGCUGUUUUGACGUUACCAACAGAAUAAGCACCGGCUAACUUCGUG